CCCAGACUCCUACGGGAGGCAGCAGUGGGGAAUAUUGCACAAUGGGGGAAACCCUGAUGCAGCGACGCCGCGUGAGUGAGGAAGUAUUUCGGUAUGUAAAGCUCUAUCAGCAGGGAAGAAAAAAUGACGGUACCUGACUAAGAAGCACCGGCUAAAUACGUGCCAGCAGCCGCGGUAAUACGUAUGGUGCAAGCGUUAUCCGGAUUUACUGGGUGUAAAGGGAGCGCAGGCGGUACGGCAAGUCUGAUGUGAAAGCCCGGGGCUCAACCCCGGUACUGCAUUGGAAACUACCGGACUGGAGUGUCGGAGGGGUAAGUGGAAUUCCUAGUGUAGCGGUGAAAUGCGUAGAUAUUAGGAGGAACACCAGUGGCGAAGGCGGCUUACUGGACGAUCACUGACGCUGAGGCUCGAAAGUGUGGGGAGCAAACAGGAUUAGAUACCCUCGUAU
rnacentral:rRNA from 1 species